UACGGAGGGUGCGAGCGUUGUCCGGAAUCACUGGGCGUAAAGCGCACGCAGGCGGAUUGAUAAGUCAGGGGUGAAAUCCCGGAGCUCAACUUCGGAAUUGCCUUUGAUACUGUCAAUCUCGAGUCCGGGAGAGGUGAGUGGAAUUCCUAGUGUAGAGGUGAAAUUCGUAGAUAUUAGGAAGAACACCAGUGGCGAAGGCGGCUCACUGGCCCGGUACUGACGCUCAUGUGCGAAAGCGUGGGGAGCAAACAGG
rnacentral:rRNA from 1 species